UCUUCUGGAUCUGACCAGUUCUCCGCUACAAAAAUGACCAGUUCUCUCCAGUCUUCUAGAUAUGCAAGUUAGAAUUAACUUGCAGCUGAUUUUGAUUGUUCAAAAAAAAAAAGGAAUGGUUCAAUAAUGGAGUUCUACAUAUGAGUGUUUUUUUCCUCUUAGUGAUUGUUAGUAUUUUGCCAAGCAAUAAUCUAUUGCCUUUAGAUAUUUGAUUUCUGUUCUGUCUUGUGUUUGAAGCGCCCUUGAUCUUUAUGGAUCGGUUUUUCCUGAAGCAUGGACAGCAAUCCCUGUUUGUUUCUCUUGACAAUGCUGGAGCAUAGAACCUAGGAGCAGAAAACCUGGAGAGGUGGAAUCUAGCUCGAGAAACUUAUCUAAUGACUGAUGAUUGUUAAUCUUGAAGAAGAUGGGGAAGCAAAAAUGGCGGCACCAGAUAAUGCACUGUAUUGUGGACCCCUCAAGUCUCUUCAUCCAAAUUAUCCAAUCUUUCUAACGCAUCACUUGUUUAAUUGUUUAUUGUCAUGAUUAUAAUUUCUCUUAAAGCCUUGGCCUUUUAUGAUUGUUUUAUGAAUUUUACCUACAGAGAGCAGGACCAAUCUUCUGGAGUUCAUGCUUUUGGAGAAAGCUUGAAGUUUUACAUGAUGACGCUAUUGACACUUUUUACUGCCAUUUUCAUAUGUAGCUAAGUUUCCCUGAUGCGUCUGCAAGUUGAAGAAGCUCAUGCAUUAGAGCUGCUAAUUUAAUAGAGUGAUGAGCCUGACCUUUAUCUACCCGUGCAUCAGCCUUUCAACAUAUAUCAAAAUAGGGGAACCACUAACGGCACCGGUAUAUUAAAGUAUAAUCAACCUUUCUCUUGCAUAAAUGAGAAGAGCAAAGAAUUCAGCAUACAUAUCUCUGCGUAGGAUCUUCUUCCACACCGAUGUUGCGAUGGAGCAAUUCUUGAAGACAUGGUUGAUGUCUUAACUGCAUCUAUACAGAAUGCGCAGUGGGGGUUAUCAAUCAUCUUCCUCCAUAGCUGUUUGGCAUUUGUUCGUAGUUUCCCUUUGAGCAUGGGCCAAACAAAAGCCCUUACUCGUUAAGCCACUGGGAGUUUCCAUUCUUCAUCAUUCCAGCUAGCGAAUUGAAAAGCUUUGUAUGCUGAUUUAAAUGUGAAAGCCCCAUUAGAGUUAAAUGCCAGAAGGAGGUAUAGGACCUUGUUCAAUGGGGGUUUAUAAGCCCUUGGCCCCCGUGAAAUGAAAGUUGGCAUAGAUCAGCCUACUUGAUUAUGCUUUACUACUCUUUAGUAUAAGACAAGACUAUUCUAUGAUUUUUAUUGCAAGAUUUUUUGUACAAGUUGCAAAAUCAUUUUUAUUAUAUAAAGUAUUAAUUCUAUGCAUUUGAAAGUUUUUGACAGAUUUUAACAUGUAAGAAGGGUUAAGAAAUAAGAACAGUGUUUUGACCAUCAAUAUGUAUGCACGCGCACA